rnacentral:ncRNA from 1 species
CCGUCCUGUCAUAUUAUGGGAGCUGACCAUGCCCGAAGUCAUUAUCUUAACCGUAAGGAGGGGGAUGUCAAAGGCAGAGCUACUGACAGGAGUGAAGUUGUAACAAG